GCGGUCUUUUAAGUCUAAUGUGAAAGCCUUCGGCUCAACCGAAGAAGUGCAUUGGAAACUGGGAGACUUGAGUGCAGAAGAGGACAGUGGAAUUCCAUGUGUAGCGGUGAAAUGCGUAGAUAUAUGGAAGAACACCAGUGGCGAAGGCGGCUGUCUGGUCUGCAACUGACGCUGAGGCUCGAAAGCAUG
rnacentral:rRNA from 1 species